rnacentral:rRNA from 1 species
UACGGAGGGGGCUAGCGUUGUUCGGAAUUACUGGGCGUAAAGCGCACGUAGGCGGCUUUGUAAGUUAGAGGUGAAAGCCCCGGGCUCAACCUGGGAAUUGCAUUCGAGACUGUGUAGCUAGGAUGCGGAAGAGGGAAGCGGAAUUUCCGGUGUAGCGGUGAAAUGCGUAGAUAUCGGAAGGAACACCAGUGGCGAAAGCGGCUUCCUGGUCCAGCAUCGACGUUCAGGCACGAAAGCGUGGGGAGCAAACAGG